rnacentral:rRNA from 1 species
CCCUUAGAUGUUCUGGGCUGCACGCGUGCUACACUGAUAUUGCCAAUAUGUCAUUCUUAUCCGAAAUGGAUUGGGUAAUCAAGUAAUGAAAUUUCAUGCUUGGAAUCAGUAAUUGCAAUUUUAUCGUGAACGAGGAAUUCCUAGUAAGCACUAGUCAUCAGCUAAUGUUGAUUAUGUCCCUGCCCUUUGUACACACCGCCCGUCGCUACUACUGAUUGGGUGUUCAAGUGAGAUGCUUAGACCCUUGUUGCAUGGUUCAUUAUUGUGCUCCGAAAGGAAAAAGUUUCAAGCUUGAGCGUCUAGAGGAAGUAAAAGUCGUAACA